UACAGUCAUAUUAUGUUGAAGCAACGGUUUCUCUACGACCACCGAAGUUAAGCAACGUCGAGCAUUGUCAGUACCUAGAUGGGUAACCGCUUGGGAAUACGAGGUGCAGCAA